UACAGAGGGUGCAAGCGUUGUCCGGAAUUAUUGGGCGUAAAGAGCUCGUAGGCGGUCUGUCGCGUCGGAUGUGAAAACCCAGGGCUCAACCCUGGGCCUGCAUUCGAUACGGGCAGACUAGAGUUCGGUAGGGGAGACUGGAAUUCCUGGUGUAGCGGUGAAAUGCGCAGAUAUCAGGAAGAACACCAAUGGCGAAAGCAGCUUUCUGGGACGGUACUGACGCUGAGACGCGAAAGCGUGGGGAGCGAACAGG
rnacentral:rRNA from 1 species